CGCAUCUGACGCGUGCGAGCAGAAUCGAGUGCUGUCAUGCAUGUAGAAGACCGCAGGGGGUAACUGCCAUAAUAAACAACGGACAGUAGCGUCCUUCGACUCCAUUCAGAAAAGGUUUUGGACACUCUUUCUUUUAUUAGGCUACAUCUUUUAUCAUCGCAGGUAGAUAUGAGAGCGAAGGCAUAGACUGUCACGCGGCGGUACCGAGCGAAUAUGCACUAAUAUGGACUGGAGACCAACACGAGAUGAGCAGCAGCGAGAAACUGAAAGGCACUAUGGUGGGCCGACCGAAGAGCAUGGUUGACAUUGAGUGAUUUGUCAUGUGGAGACAGACAAAGGACCCCCCCCUGCACACACACAGCCCUCAGAGAGUUUGAG